GAUGAACGCUAGCUACAGGCUUAACACAUGCAAGUCGAGGGGUCUCGAGAGGGCUUGCUCUUGAGAGACGACCGGCGCACGGGUGAGUAACGCGUAUCCAACCUGCCCUUCAUAUUGGGAUAGCCUUCCGAAAGGGAGAUUAAUACCGAAUAACAUGAGAAGAUUGCAUGAACCUCUCAUGAAAGCUCCGGCGAUGAAGGAUGGGGAUGCGUUCCAUUAGGUAGUAGGCGGGGUAACGGCCCACCUAGCCGACGAUGGAUAGGGGUUCUGAGAGGAAGGUCCCCCACACUGGAACUGAGACACGGUCCAGACUCCUACGGGAGGAAGCAGUGAGGAAUAUUGGUCAAUGGGCGCAAGCCUGAACCAGCCAAGUAGCGUGAAGGAAGACUGCCCUAUGGGUUGUAAACUUCUUUUAUACGGGAACAAACCCCGGUACGUGUACCGGAUUGCGUGUACCGUAUGAAUAAGCAUCGGCUAACUCCGUGCCAGCCGCCGCCGUAACAC
rnacentral:rRNA from 1 species